rnacentral:lncRNA from 1 species
GGCCCACAACCACCAUCCUGCAAUUACAUUGAUCUAAACCUCUAAUUUAAAAUUGAUUAGAUAUUGACCCCUAAGGAUCUUUGAGCUCAGUAGGACAAGGAACCCUAAAAGUUGGAUCAGAUUCAGGUUAGUCAGUUUAACUGGUAUCUAGAAAAGUGGUUUAGAGAUUACGUCUUGAAGAAAGGUGGUUCAUUAAUUAGUUCCGUUCACUUACCUGACUAACUCAGUUAGUGUCUAAGAAAAAUAACAGGAGGAUCCCCACCAAGCUUAUACUUACUUGGCUAGUUGAGCUGCUAGUCUGCUAUUUGAAGUACUUGAAGGUGACCUUGGUAGUUAGGAGCUGUCCAGAUCUAAGAUAACCCAUAGUCAGAAUUGAUUGAACCACUUGAUUGUUAACUAAAAAUAUCAAAUCUAAUUAAUUUUUCUCUCUCUUCUUAGCCUUAUAACUCUUUAGGUUCUCUUCUUUAAAGCUCUUUUCUCUCUCCCUCCUUUUCUCCUCUUCUCUUUUAAACAAAAAAAAGAAAAAUUAUGGAAAUUAAACUUGAUGAGAUUUUUUGGAUGCAUGCUAGGAUGCCGAUCAUUACAACCUGAUUUACAUCCAUUAGACCUAGAGCUAGAAAGAAUGAUUCGAACAAACCAAAUCAAAACCAUGGAUCCAAAAUAAGAGACUGACCCACCAUGAUAAUUGAGAGAUAUUUUACUCCCUCAUCUUAUACCUACUCAACAUGUAUCCAGUCUCUUCCUGUAGAGGCAGCGUAAUUGAAAUCAAAUCCAGCAUUAUUCAAAUACUACCAUCAUUCUAUAGAUUGAUGAAUGAAAAUUCAUACAAACACU